rnacentral:rRNA from 1 species
AUUGAACGCUGGCGGCAGGCCUAACACAUGCAAGUCGAGCGGAUGAGUGGAGCUUGCUCCAUGAUUCAGCGGCGGACGGGUGAGUAAUGCCUAGGAAUCUGCCUGGUAGUGGGGGACAACGUUUCGAAAGGAACGCUAAUACCGCAUACGUCCUACGGGAGAAAGCAGGGGACCUUCGGGCCUUGCGCUAUCAGAUGAGCCUAGGUCGGAUUAGCCAGUAGGUGAGGUAAAGGCUCACCUAGGCGACGAUCCGUAACUGGUCUGAGAGGAUGAUCAGUCACACUGGAACUGAGACACGGUCCAGACUCCUACGGGAGGCAGCAGUGGGGAAUAUUGGACAAUGGGCGAAAGCCUGAUCCAGCCAUGCCGCGUGUGUGAAGAAGGUCUUCGGAUUGUAAAGCACUUUAAGUUGGGAGGAAGGGCAGUAAGUUAAUACCUUGCUGUUUUGACGUUACCAACAGAAUAAGCACCGGCUAACUUCGUGCCAGCAGCCGCAGUAACAC